UAGGCUUUGAGGGUGCGAUGCGCACGCU
rnacentral:piRNA from 1 species